AGCGUACACGGUGGAUGCCCUGGCAGUCAGAGGCGAUGAAGGACGUGCUAAUCUGCGAUAAGCGUCGGUAAGGUGAUAUGAACCGUUAUAACCGGCGAUUUCCGAAUGGGGAAACCCAGUGUGUUUCGACACACUAUCAUUAACUGAAUCCAUAGGUUAAUGAGGCGAACCGGGGGAACUGAAACAUCUAAGUACCCCGAGGAAAAGAAAUCAACCGAGAUUCCCCCAGUAGCGGCGAGCGAACGGGGAGCAGCCCAGAGCCUGAAUCAGUGUGUGUGUUAGUGGAAGCGUCUGGAAAGGCGUGCGAUACAGGGUGACAGCCCCGUACACAAAAAUGCACAUGCUGUGAGCUCGAUGAGUAGGGCGGGACACGUGGUAUCCUGUCUGAAUAUGGGGGGACCAUCCUCCAAGGCUAAAUACUCCUGACUGACCGAUAGUGAACCAGUACCGUGAGGGAAAGGCGAAAAGAACCCCGGCGAGGGGAGUGAAAAAGAACCUGAAACCGUGUACGUACAAGCAGUGGGAGCACGCUUAGGCGUGUGACUGCGUACCUUUUGUAUAAUGGGUCAGCGACUUAUAUUCUGUAGCAAGGUUAACCGAAUAGGGGAGCCGAAGGGAAACCGAGUCUUAACUGGGCGUUAAGUUGCAGGGUAUAGACCCGAAACCCGGUGAUCUAGCCAUGGGCAGGUUGAAGGUUGGGUAACACUAACUGGAGGACCGAACCGACUAAUGUUGAAAAAUUAGCGGAUGACUUGUGGCUGGGGGUGAAAGGCCAAUCAAACCGGGAGAUAGCUGGUUCUCCCCGAAAGCUAUUUAGGUAGCGCCUCGUGAAUUCAUCUCCGGGGGUAGAGCACUGUUUCGGCAAGGGGGUCAUCCCGACUUACCAACCCGAUGCAAACUGCGAAUACCGGAGAAUGUUAUCACGGGAGACACACGGCGGGUGCUAACGUCCGUCGUGAAGAGGGAAACAACCCAGACCGCCAGCUAAGGUCCCAAAGUCAUGGUUAAGUGGGAAACGAUGUGGGAAGGCCCAGACAGCCAGGAUGUUGGCUUAGAAGCAGCCAUCAUUUAAAGAAAGCGUAAUAGCUCACUGGUCGAGUCGGCCUGCGCGGAAGAUGUAACGGGGCUAAACCAUGCACCGAAGCUGCGGCAGCGACGCUUAUGCGUUGUUGGGUAGGGGAGCGUUCUGUAAGCCUGCGAAGGUGUGCUGUGAGGCAUGCUGGAGGUAUCAGAAGUGCGAAUGCUGACAUAAGUAACGAUAAAGCGGGUGAAAAGCCCGCUCGCCGGAAGACCAAGGGUUCCUGUCCAACGUUAAUCGGGGCAGGGUGAGUCGACCCCUAAGGCGAGGCCGAAAGGCGUAGUCGAUGGGAAACAGGUUAAUAUUCCUGUACUUGGUGUUACUGCGAAGGGGGGACGGAGAAGGCUAUGUUGGCCGGGCGACGGUUGUCCCGGUUUAAGCGUGUAGGCUGGUUUUCCAGGCAAAUCCGGAAAAUCAAGGCUGAGGCGUGAUGACGAGGCACUACGGUGCUGAAGCAACAAAUGCCCUGCUUCCAGGAAAAGCCUCUAAGCAUCAGGUAACAUCAAAUCGUACCCCAAACCGACACAGGUGGUCAGGUAGAGAAUACCAAGGCGCUUGAGAGAACUCGGGUGAAGGAACUAGGCAAAAUGGUGCCGUAACUUCGGGAGAAGGCACGCUGAUAUGUAGGUGAAGUCCCUCGCGGAUGGAGCUGAAAUCAGUCGAAGAUACCAGCUGGCUGCAACUGUUUAUUAAAAACACAGCACUGUGCAAACACGAAAGUGGACGUAUACGGUGUGACGCCUGCCCGGUGCCGGAAGGUUAAUUGAUGGGGUCAGCGCAAGCGAAGCUCUUGAUCGAAGCCCCGGUAAACGGCGGCCGUAACUAUAACGGUCCUAAGGUAGCGAAAUUCCUUGUCGGGUAAGUUCCGACCUGCACGAAUGGCGUAAUGAUGGCCAGGCUGUCUCCACCCGAGACUCAGUGAAAUUGAACUCGCUGUGAAGAUGCAGUGUACCCGCGGCAAGACGGAAAGACCCCGUGAACCUUUACUAUAGCUUGACACUGAACAUUGAGCCUUGAUGUGUAGGAUAGGUGGGAGGCUUUGAAGUGUGGACGCCAGUCUGCAUGGAGCCGACCUUGAAAUACCACCCUUUAAUGUUUGAUGUUCUAACGUUGACCCGUAAUCCGGGUUGCGGACAGUGUCUGGUGGGUAGUUUGACUGGGGCGGUCUCCUCCUAAAGAGUAACGGAGGAGCACGAAGGUUGGCUAAUCCUGGUCGGACAUCAGGAGGUUAGUGCAAUGGCAUAAGCCAGCUUGACUGCGAGCGUGACGGCGCGAGCAGGUGCGAAAGCAGGUCAUAGUGAUCCGGUGGUUCUGAAUGGAAGGGCCAUCGCUCAACGGAUAAAAGGUACUCCGGGGAUAACAGGCUGAUACCGCCCAAGAGUUCAUAUCGACGGCGGUGUUUGGCACCUCGAUGUCGGCUCAUCACAUCCUGGGGCUGAAGUAGGUCCCAAGGGUAUGGCUGUUCGCCAUUUAAAGUGGUACGCGAGCUGGGUUUAGAACGUCGUGAGACAGUUCGGUCCCUAUCUGCCGUGGGCGCUGGAGAACUGAGGGGGGCUGCUCCUAGUACGAGAGGACCGGAGUGGACGCAUCACUGGUGUUCGGGUUGUCAUGCCAAUGGCACUGCCCGGUAGCUAAAUGCGGAAGAGAUAAGUGCUGAAAGCAUCUAAGCACGAAACUUGCCCCGAGAUGAGUUCUCCCUGACUCCUUGA
rnacentral:rRNA from 1 species